ACUUCCCAGCUCCUCUCAGGAUUCAGCCUCCAGCAGUGUGAAUCUGGAGAGGCCGAGAGUGGAGCGCCGCAAACGCCUCGUCAGACAGUACAGCUUCAACCACAGUGAUGAAGAUGACCUCCCAGAAGCACUUGCUGCCAUAUCUUCUGAGAGCAGCAUGGGAAAAUCCACGUCCAGCAGCUCUCUGGACAAACAGGUCCAGCCUCCAAUCUACCCACCGGUAAUGGCCUGCUUUGACACGUCUUUGGAUGAAGUGACCCGCAGUUCAUUCAGGGUAAUUGAAGGAAUUGUGAUUUUUAUUCUUCAGCAGAAAAGUGUCCCACCGCCACUGGAGCACUGUGACAAAUCCCCUCUGUUCUAUCCAAGCCCAGUCCCUCACCUACUGCCAUUCAGCCCACACUCCAACAGGUAAUACACACACAUACACACACUCACUAACCAAAAAAAUAACUCUCUUAGUAGGAGCAAGGAGCAGUUGGAAUUAAAUUAAUCUUUAUAUGUGUGAAGGUAAUGAUGAAAUAUGUAAGUGAUUACAGAUUACAGUGUUUCAAGUCCUGCUGGAAAAUGAAANAAUCGGAUUACUUUUUCAAAGUAACUAUACCAUCACUGCUCCUGAUCAUAGCGGCAGCGCUUAGCCCUUAGCUGGACCACUCAGAGCCCCCAACUUUCCUUGUUUUAAGUAUUUUAAUCUACUGAAAGUGUAUUAUUUCACUGGCAGAUAUUAAUCAUUUUUCUUUAAGCAUUAUUUCUUGACAAAAACAAAUUAAUCUGUUAUUUCCUGAAUAAUAGAUAUAAUAGAUAUACAUUUUAAAAACAAGUACAAGUAACAUAGGUUGACAUAGGUUAUUGAUUCUUAUAAUAUUACUUUAAUUAUCUCAAAAUGAGAAAUUUUAGACUACAUUUAAUAGGAUUUUACUUGCAGUGUAACUCUGUCAUUAAUAUUAAAUGAGUGUAUAGUUAAAGGUAAAGUGUUUGUGAUGUGUUUGUGUAGUUUUCCUCUCAGCAGUGCAGAUACACAGAGGUUCAGUAUGGAAGAGAAUGAAGCUCCACAUGCUGGAAAAGUCCAUCGCUGCUACCAUCGCCAUGCCUACGAGAAACAGGAAGCCCCGUGUCUUUCUUUACCCAAACCCAAGCCUUGGGUUAUCUCUGCUGGACACCCUGAAGAGUAUGACCGCCCUCUGCCAAGCCCAAAUCAUCUGGACCUGGAGUCCACACCCUGGCCAGCCCUUCACAUCAACAUCGACACAGUCAGUGCUGCACAGGUUACUUUCACACUGCAGGCAGAGAGAUUGCAUCAUAACUGAGCCCGUUUAAGCUAAUAACCUCUUAUCAUUACAUUGCAUUACAUUAAAUUACAUUUGGCAGAUGCUUUUGUCCAAAGCGACUUACAAUAAUGAUCUUAUCAUAACAUUUCUCUCUUUUGGGAGACAUGAGAGGAACACUUUACAGACUAAUGAGGGAAUGUUUCAACUAAUUAUUAACGGACACUAGUUAAAACACAGUUUGAUUUGUUACUUUACUAUAUUGUGAUUAUCACGCCAUAUCUUUAUAUAAAAUAGCAUUAAAGAUAGCAUUAACAAACAGAUGCCUUCAGUUAAUUUUCUUUAGCCCAACCCGACUCGAAUGUGGUGGGACUUGACAUAACCCGGCCCAAAUUCUGGUUGGGCAUCGAGCUUGGGCUCGGACAGAGAAUCUCUACAAAAAACACAGAUUUGUUGGUCUUAAAGUUUCAUUUCUUCUGCAUGUAACCAUUUAUGGACGAUGACUGUAUAUAAACAGCUCUAGCAGUAGAAUAGAUUGUAGUGGAGAGCUCAGUGACACACAGUGUGUCUGUGUCACAGGACCCGACCUUUCAACAGGUCUGUCGUGUCAAACGUCUGCCCUCCUACAGCUAAUCUGGUCAGCUGCAAGUGCUGUUGUUGUGAAGUGGAAGCGUCUAGGAGCAGCAGCUCAGCAGUGAAGUGCUGCGCCAAACGAGCUCCCAGAACAGGGCCGCUGUGCUGAGUGCUGAAGGACAAAGGCCGUAUAAAUCACUUGUCCUCGGUUACAACUCUCACUACUGAGAUCCAGACUGCCUCUGGAAGCAACGUAAGCAGAAAAACAGUCUGUCAAGAGCUUCAUAGAUUGGGCUUUCAUGGCUAAACAGGAGCACACAAGCCUAAAGUCACGGUUUGCAGUGCUGACAGUCAGCUGGAGUGGUGUAAAGCACAUUGCCAUUGGUCUCUAGAGCAGCGCAAAUGCAUUUUCUGGAGUGAUGAAACACUUAUUACUCGUUUUGACGGAUGCUAGGGAAAAGCCUACCUGCUUGAGUGUACACAGUAGCCACAGCAGUGCCAGCAGUAACGAUCGCUGAAGGAAGAACAAUGGCUUGGACACCUUAGUUAGUUUCAGCAAAGAGAAAUUUGAAUAUAAAAGCACAAGUCAUGGAACAGCAGUAUGUAAACAUGUAAACUGAUCAUGUGAGUGAGGUUGAAUACAGGCCAGUGUGUUUGAUUAAGUGCAAAAGUGCCAAAGUAUCUCCAUUCAUAACCCAGGUACACGUAUAAAUAUUAGGGUUUAAAAUACUUGAAGUUAAAUUAUCAACUCAAGCUUUUUACUCUUUAAGUGAAAGUGCAAAAGUACUGGUUUCAAAACUACCUAAAGUAUAAAAGUAAUGUAAGAGGGAAAAAACACCAUUACGGACAAAAGCUAUAAGACACCACAGGGUCUUAUAAUGCACUACAAUCCCCCCACCCAAACAUUUUUCCAAAAGCCAUAAUGACUUUAAUGUUAAAAUAAAAUAUUAAUGUUGAUAAAUUUGGGAUGCA
rnacentral:lncRNA from 1 species